AUGAGAAAAAUUGAUCUGUGUUUGAGGUGAGGGGACUGAAGUGAUUUUAGCUACAUCAAGUGAUGAAAAACACCCACCUGAAAAUAUUAUUGAUGGGAAUCCAGAAACAUUUUGGACCACAACAGGAAUGUUUCCCCAAGAGGUUCAUUAUUUGUUUUCACAAACAUGUAAGGAUUGAAAGGCUUGUAAUCCAAAGUUACUUUGUGAGGACCUUGAGGAUUGAAAAGAGCACAUCUAAAGAGCCAAUUGAUUUUGAGCCGUGGAUUGAAAGAGAUCUAGUCCACAAGGAGGGGCAGCUUCAAAAUGAAGAAAUUAUGACCCGAGAUGGCCACACCACUCAUUUGAGAUUCAUUAUUAUAUCAGCCUUUGAUCAUUUUGCAUCUGCGCAUAGUGUUUCUGCAGAGGGCCUAGCAGUCUCAAAUCUUUCUUAG